CACGUUCUCGCUAUAUCUCCCUCCCCCUCUUCUUACUCUCGCGAUUUUUGAUUAUGCCAAAGUGUUCGUCGCUUGCUGCUGUGUCGUCGAUCGUUGUCAGAUUCAUCCCAUCGCUGACGACCAGCCUCCGACCUCCGCCUCCUUCCAGCCUUCGACCUCCACCUCCUUCCAGUUACACAGCCAGGAGAACGAUCGUCUCCUCCCAGGUAACUUUUGAAAAUGGCAAAUAAAAGAAUGCGAAAGCUAAUCCAAAAUAGCCAAAGACGAUCUAGGAGAGAAGAAUCAAGUAACAGAGGAGUUGAUGAUGCAAAUGAAUUACAAUACACAACAUCCCAUUCACCAUUAGAUGCAAAAGGUUGGAACCGCCAACCCAGCGGCCCCCUCAUCCCGGCCCCACAAGUAUGAGAGGGAGUAAAUCACGGUGAAUGCGGGCCCAGCUAUGACAUGGCGGUCUUAGGUGUUUAGCACGGACAGAUAUUGAUGUUAUCGCAAUUGCUGCCGCAGACCUUCGACCUCCCGACUCAUGAUGCAAGAAUACCAUGUCAUAACCGGCUGAUCCCGCCCGUGGAGGCAUCCCAUUCACCAUUAGAGAUACAACAUGAGGAGGUUAAUGAGCAAGUUGAAAAUGAGGUCAUGCCUUCAUCCCAAAGUCAGCAAAGAAACGUGGCAAGACUAUCAUGAGAGAUAUUCAUGCAUUACAUCCCGAUCAUGUGCUCGUAGUUGAAUUCAAUGAAAGGGGACAACCUUACGGUGAUCUACAACCGAUGCUUGCAAAUUUUAUUGGGACUAUUGCACGGAAUGGACUUGUGUUGCCCCUAUACUUUUUAGAUUGGAGAAAAAUGCCGAAAAAUCGCUUGAAUGAUGCAUGGAAACUUGUUACCGCACGUUUCUAUAUCCCCAAUCAUCAUAGAAGAGUUAUAUUGCAAAUGAUGGGGGCCGCAUGGAGACGGUGGAGGACUGAAGUGAAAGCUACAUCUUAUGAUUCAAAUACUCCACUAGAAGAGCUUGUUGCAACACAACCCAUUCCUCAUGGAUUGACACCUCAAACUUGGGAAGUUUUAUGUAACUAUUGGAAGUCUACUGAGAAAACCUCAAAAAUCAAUAGAGAAAAUGCAAACAAAAAGAAAGGGACUCAUGCAUAGGGGACACACUAAUAUUCCGUCAUUGGAAUAUAAAUUUGUUGCUAUUGAAGGUUGGAGCAAAUGCCUUUUGUCGCUUGAAGCACUUGUCUUUUGUCGUUUAGAGCGCAUGCCUUUUGUUGUUUGGAGCACAUGUCUUUUGAUGUUUUUUUGGUGAAGAAAACUUGUUAUUGAAAGUUGUAUAUAUUUGUAUAUAUUUUGGAGAUUGAAGAAAAUAUUAUGUUUGUGUUA